rnacentral:rRNA from 1 species
GAUGAACGCUAGCGGCAGGCCUAACACAUGCAAGUCGAGGGAGAGGUUACCUUCGGGUAACCAAAACCGGCGCACGGGUGCGUAACGCGUAUACAAUCUGCCUUUCACAUAGGGAUAGCCCGAAGAAAUUUGGAUUAAUACCUAAUGGUAUAUAAGAGCGGCAUCGUUUUUAUAUUAAAGCUACGGUGGUGAAAGAUGAGUAUGCGUUCUAUUAGCUAGUUGGAGAGGUAACGGCUCCCCAAGGCGACGAUAGAUAGGGGUUCUGAGAGGGAUGUUCCCCACACUGGUACUGAGAUACGGACCAGACUCCUACGGGAGGCAGCAGUGAGGAAUAUUGGACAAUGGUCGGAAGACUGAUCCAGCCAUGCCGCGUGCAGGAUGAAGGUCCUAUGGAUUGUAAACUGCUUUUGUAAGGGAAGAAUAAGGAGUACGUGUACUUUGAUGACGGUACCUUACGAAUAAGCAUCGGCUAACUCCGUGCCAGCAGCCGCGGUAAUACGGAGGAUGCGAGCGUUAUCCGGAAUCAUUGGGUUUAAAGGGUCCGUAGGCGGGCUGAUAAGUCAGAGGUGAAAGCGCUUAGCUCAACUAAGCAACUGCCUUUGAAACUGUUAGUCUUGAAUGAUUGUGAAGUAGUUGGAAUGUGUAGUGUAGCGGUGAAAUGCUUAGAUAUUACACAGAACACCGAUAGCGAAGGCAUAUUACUAACAAUUUAUUGACGCUGAUGGACGAAAGCGUGGGGAGCGAACAGG